rnacentral:lncRNA from 1 species
UGGAAGUUUAGUAAUUGCUGGAUAAGAAGUGGUGAAGAAGAAACUAACCUUUCUCAGCCUUACUUUCCUCAGUUCACUCUCCACCUUGUCCUCUAACUUUGUGAGCUCAUUUAUAUCGUGUUCAAUCAAUCCAUCAUCAAGAAGCCUGGAAAACGUUGCUGACGUUAGGAAGGAAUGCGCUAAUAUUCGUAUGCUGUUUUGUUGAUGAUUUUACCUUUGGUCUACUUUAAGUCCACGGUUCAUUUCAUGAUCUGCAAAUUCUGCACUCUUACCCUUACAAGAAAAGUGUGUAGUAUUCAUCAGAAACGUUUCAAGGCAGACAAAUUCAAAACUAUGCGCCAAGAAAAGUAACUUUUCUAUAGAUUACCGCACAACAUGGCCCAAUUUGGCUCAAGAUUUCUAACGUGAAUAUCUUCAUGCACGUUCCCUAGUUGCAAGACUAAUGCUAAAAUAAUUGUCUUACAUAUAAUAGAAGCUACAUCAAAUAGAGUCAAAAGCAACAGAUGUAAGACAUCGAUACCAACCAGUUUUAAGUCAACCACUGUCAUAGACACAAAAGAGAAUCAAAUCCGUGCCCCUUUUUUAUGGACCAAUCAAUGUAUGGUUUUAAGUUUGUAUUUAAUUUUCAAAAGUUAACUAGAAAAAGUAACUUAUGGAUAAUCACAUAUCGUUGUCAAACAUAGAACCGAGUAAAUGAUACCUUUCGUAUAAGAACAUUGUUCUUCACUUUUCUUUCUUCGUCUAAAAAUCUGUUACAGCGCUCAAAGGUUUUCUCCAAACUGAAAUUUAAGAACGAGAGAAAUGUAAUGCACCCGUUACAAGCAAAUAGAAUCGGAUUACUUGAUGAAAUAUAAUAUAAUUCAAUGAAUAAACACUAUUUGCAUAAAAAUGAAUUUAUUGUUUGUCAAGAUUUGUGUAUGGAACAGAUAGUAUCAUGUCUAGUUUCAACACAACAUCUUACGUGUCAAAUGAUUCCUUUUCCUCCCGCCUUAAUGAGUUUUGGUUAAAUGAUGUAUGUACGCUAAUUCUACUUUUUAAAAUCUACAUAGUAUAUGGGUUGGAUGACAAUAAGGUUUCUCUCUCUCUCUCUCUCUCGUAUUCUCAUCAUAUCCUAACAAGGACAUGCACUGGAAGAUGUAACAACUGCAUAGUGUGACACUAUGGCUGCCUUAUCGUGCGAUGUACCCCAGAAUUAUCAUGGGGUGAGAGAUGUUGCAUCAACAUCAGGCAAAAAUAGUCCGUCACAAAAAUGAGACCAUCAUGACGGCACCACUAAUCUGAUGACAUUUGUUUAAUGUACGUUGACUCCCUUUGACUGCUAAAUGCCACAGUGUCAAGUGUGCCAUAGAAAGAUGCAUAAUGGGGAAUUUUGGGUUAACUUUGAUCUUAGUUAAAUCUCCAACUUUUGACAUGUUUAAAUCCAACUACUAGUUGAGGAUUUAUUUCGAAAAUUAUACCUAUUUUUCACGCACAAAUAGUUAUGGUGGAAGUUGUUAUAAUAGAAGUGAGCCAUGCAGAAGCCAUGAAGACCGUGACCAUCGUAUGUAACUUCACUCAUUGAGAUUCUAAAUCGUGUAUUGAAAUAGUUUUGAGAGAAGGUUGGAUAGUUUCCAGGGAAAAUGGGCAUGCUUACUUGUAAUUGGACUACACCUACUUCAAAUCUCAAAAAUAACGGUUCUUUCAAUGACCAAUAACAAAUGUUCUAAGCUCUCCAUUCACUUUCGCUCUUACUACAACUCCUUCUCCAAGUACCUAGUAUUUUACGACUUUAAAAUAAAAUUCAUGAAUUGUACAUUUUUAUGACACAUUUCAUGAUAGGAAUUUAGUUAAGAGACAAAAUCUGUACAUAUAAUAAACAAGAAUACUUGAGGAAUGACUUAGUGUGUAUAUCAUGGACAAAAAAUAAGGUAGGUGAGAAACAAAUUCGGCCUUAUUGUUUUCGGUUAUAUUUACUACUCCUAUUGAAGUGAUGGCAUUAAUAUCAUCAAUAAUUUAUUUCUCAGGAGUUUUACUGUUAUUUCUCCACCUUCAUUUCAUUUACUUUUUCAAUUUUUUAGUUGGAUUUAUAUUCAUCAAUCUACAUCAAAUAUUUUCAAAUUAGCCUCUCUUGAUAUCCUCAAAUCAUUAUUCACCUAUCACUGCAAAAAAAAGUAACAGAUAUUCCGCUCAGAAUUUUAAUUUCAUAUUCUUUAUCACUUGUAUCUUGAAUUAUCAAGAAGCUAUGAACUAUUUGACCUAGAUAAAUCCCAUUAAGGACAUGCCAACGAUAUGGAGUUAGGGCACCUGUGAUUGGCUUCUCCACCAUCACUUUGUGCUUCUCUUUUCAAUGAAACAUGAUAAGGUGGCCUUUCGCAUUAAUAUCUAGCCAAGUAUCAUUAACAUAACGUAGAUAUUGUCACCAUAUACCUCAUUUAAUCUACACAAGAAUUGAACCUAUUAAGACUCAUAAAGGGAGAGAGAUAGGCAGAAGAACAUAAUAAGUACUACAAGGUUUUUCCUUCACACAAAUGUUUCCCACUGCAUAGAAGAUCCUCCAUAAAAAUAAUCCCCAAUAGAGGGUUUCCCAAGUAAAAACUUUGAUAUCCAGAUCUCUUUACCCAUAAAAGAGAGGCUUAUGAACUAGUUGACCAAUUUAAUACACCAACUUAAUUAAGAAACUUGUAUCCCUCAAUGAACACGAUCCUUAUGGUUCAAAGCUUACAUUGACAUUUUUGUAACUGAGUUUAGAAGAACUCCAUAGUAAAAAAUUAGUAUGUUAAUGUCAUCAUUCUUUAAUGCCUCCAAUAUUAAUUAAAUGGUUUCCUUGAACGGAGAAUGUUUUACACCAACUAUCCUUUAAGGAGAUAUUUAUUAAUUUAUUUAUUAUAAAGGCCUUGAGCCAAUUAUUAUCAUACCUUUAGCUAGGAAAAUAUCCUACUCUAUCUUUCAAGUUGAACUAAGAAUAACAUCUCAUGCUAUACCGUUAUGUAAAUGCCUAUGAUAAGUAACAAAUCAAUAAUCUGUUAUCAUCAUGGCCCAAAUCCUAGUGUCAUUUUUAUCACAAGUGUAGGUAGCAUCUCCCCAUGAAGAAUGGAAAUUUGAUUUUUUGCACAAUUUUUUGGCAAAGAAAUAAAUAUUUGAUCAGCCAAAAAAGUGUAAAAAGUGAAGCCAAUAUGGUAAAUAUUGAUCCUCACCAUAGUGUGUUAAAACAUUCAUAAACUAUAUAUAUGUAUCCACACGUGGACCGAGUACAUAUCUAACCUUAGUGAGAGAGAAAAAGAGUAAAACAAUGCAAAUUUUGGCCCAUAAAAUCUACUUGAGUAUAAGACCACAUGAACAGACGACUAGUAAUUUGAAGAAGCUGAAAAAAAUAUCUCUGACCACGAAGAAAUAUAUAUGACCUACAUGAAUUGAAAUAUCUAUUACUCCAAAGGCCUCAAUAUCUCAAGCUCAAAAAGUUCACAAGAACUCUAAUCAAUGUUCAAGAAGAUCCUCCAAAUUUUUUCUUACAUCCUCAUAUUACUAAAAGCAGCUUUAUAUUCUUCAUUUUUUAUUUUUUUGUGCAUUCCUCUAUUUUCCUAAAAGGUUCUAGUUAAUACCCAAGGGAAGCAGUAUUAAGUAAAAUAAAUAAAAUAAGGCCUAGGGAUUGCAAUUAAAUUAAGCCACAGAAAAUAGUGAUGUUUUGUGUUGAGAUUACAUAUUUCACACUAAAACCUAACUAUGAUUAUUCAUCCCCAUCUUGUAGGAUUUUAUCUCUCAUUGCCUUAGGCCGAUGAAUAAUGCCUAGCUGAUUGGACAAGACUGGUUAUUUAUUCUCUCAUUGCCUUAGCAUUCAUUAUCGAUGUAUGAGUACAUUUGCAUAUGCCAAGAGGACUGUCAAAAAACUCUGCUUUCAAGGGCCAAAGUACACUCAACUGGGCGUUCUUAAGGAUUAUUCUCUAGAACGAACUACCUCAAAGAAGAGGGUUAUGUUAAAGUGACAUUGACAUGAUCUUAAUGCAACAUACAGAUUACUUGAUGAUAUUGUACCUUUAAAGGAAAUGUAAUAGCAUAAAAAAGAAAACUUAUGCCACAUAAAUUGCUCAAAUAAAGUAUAUAGUCAUGACAUAAAUGAUACCUAAAUUGCUGAAUUGUAAUUUCAAAAAGCGACGAACAUGAAAACUGAACUUUGGGGUCAAAAAAUAUCCUCACAAAUUAUUAUGGAGAUAGACUUUUCAGUAAGAGGCAGAUUCCCACCAUUAUAAAUAGCCAGCUUAAAGUUUCACCCAACGUUCCAAUGGUCUCUACGGCCAAAAGCCCAAGAAGCUUCGGGUAUAAAAAAUUCAAACCAAUAUUAAUUGUUUCACAACUAUACGGAUCCCCAUCCUCAGCCAAAAACAUUAUCUUCAGUAUAAAACUGUUUGAUAAUUUUACGGAUUCCCAUCUUCUUCCGAAAGCAUUAUCUUCACUAUAAAACAGUUUCCACGUUAAACCAAUUUUCAGCCAACAAUCACAAGUAUUAUAGAUGAUUACAUUUUAAAAAUAUGAUAUUGACCCCCGCCCUCUCCUAGUAGUACAUAAAAUUCAAGUAUCGAAACAACCACACAUUGUGAAGAUAAAGGUUUCAUCAUAUUCAUCCUUUAGUCAAUAGAGGGAUGGAAUUUUUUUCUAAAAUGGGGGCAGACAGAUGAUUUUUUUCUAAAGGGAUGAUCUUUUGCGCACAAAAAAUAUUCGCUGCUAAUUAUACUGAGCUAUAUGGCCCCUUGAAUUCAAGAGAGGCUAUUGAGGGAAUAAACAUGAAUUGAUGAGCCAAUUGAGGGGCUGGGAAAAAAAAAUUAUGACUAAUGAAGAAAGACGAAGUAGGAAUUGUCUGGCUUGUUGUCGGGGUAGAUUCCCACUAUUUCAUGACCGAAUAAAAAUGUUAUCACCUACCUGAUCUUUCAUUUUUUUUUAAAAUGUUGGUCAUUUGAGAGUCUCUGAGAUAAGCUUCACGUGUGGAAGAACUAGCCGGGGGACUUUACAAGAAUAUGUGCCAGCCCUUGUUAUACCUUUUUAUUUGGAGAAGUAAUAAGCAAAGAGAAUUUAGCAGAGAAUGGAACUAUCCAAGGGACUAUGCUAUACUGACAUCCAACAUGUCUGGACAGUAAGAUUACUGGGAAAGGAUGUUAAUGUGUUACUUGAGGCAAUGAGGCAUGGUUGUGAUAGAGCUAACUAUUUAUAAGCAUAGAUGAAAUGUUCUGGCCAGAGAGGUGAAGAGUCUCACAACAUAUGACCAGGAAAGGAGUUAGUACGAAUUUUAAACUUUCAAUGCCGCAGGGAGGUGAGAAGUUUCAGCAAUCAAGAAGAUAUAAGGGCUGCGAAGGUGAAGGGUCAAAGGGAGAUGAGGAAUCAGGAGUGCGAAUAAGUUAAGGUAUCCCCCAAACAAAACAGACAAAAAUCGCCCUAAAGCUAUCAAGAUUUUCAUUUAGUUCAUUGAAAAAGGCAAAGCGGAAUGUGGGCAGAAAUAAUAACGUGCUAUUCGAUCCGAGGGUUGAAUGACACCCACUGUAAAAUUCCUUAGUGGGGAUAAAAUACAUCCAGUCUUCGGUCUUUUCAGCUCACUACGAGGAUUUUAUUCAAAAAAGUGACCAGACGGUGCCAUACUGGAAACCAAGAAAUUAUAUGUGAACAUUUACAAACAACAUAUCCGAGUUAUUUUACAGGAUUACUGCCGUUCAGAGAAGGAAUAAUGAAUGGCUAAUAUCUUUUAAAUCUUCGUCAAAGAGAGUAAACUAUGAAUCGAAAGCUAUGCCGAUGCUCAAUGCUCAGUGCUCGCCCCCAUAUUCCGUCCUCUUGCUGGACGUUCAUUCCCUCUCGAGACGCUAGACACCACAGAACAGAUAGUUCAAUACAUCAGUCCACCAGUUCUGCUCCGACCACACCAAACUAAGUUCUCGUGUCCCCAACCGGAAGGGCCUUCUCUUUCCUCUUGAAGAAGAUGGCCCACUGCCAUGGGAGAAUCGAAGACCGGAAAAGGAGGCUAAAUGUGCCGCUAAAUAAAAAAAAGAUGAACAACGGCCAGAAAUGAAGACGGAGGUGUUCGAUGGUAUACGUAUCUAGAAGAAACUUUCUACUUGCUUAAUGCUUGGCUAUCAUAUAGAUGUGUGGGGAAGAACUUUCCCACGUCUCAUCCGACACACAGGUCUGUUCGUCAUCACAGUGAAAGCUUACUUGAACGAGAUAAAGAGAGCUUGGUGAUCCAUCUCAUACGUUGGCAUUUGCUGGUUCCCCGAGCUUCCAUUGUCGGGGCCAAAUAAACGCCAACUAGAAAACACAGUAAGCUCGUAAACGGCCGGAAGGGCACGGGGUGUUGGAAGGGAAGAACCGAUAAAAUAAAGCUCACGGGUCAAAGGGCACGCCCCCAUCUCUCACAAGCGCCGGGUGCAAGAACCUAGACACUGGAAAAGCUUUCGAGAACAAGGCUACAGUAGCUAUUUCAUGGAGAGGGAAAAGAGGAAAAUAGCGAAUGUGCCUUUUCUUCUUUCAUUUGAUUUGGGUCAGAAUGAACACCGCCACAAACGCGUGCGUUCGUCUCUCUAAGGUGCGUCAACCUGGCGAAGCAAAGAAACAGUCAGCGGCUAGAACUCUCUGUGCAUCGUUUAUUUGCUCGCUGUCUCUUCGUGUGCACCUGCGGAGAGAGCAAACGCGUCAACCCCACGACAUUCCGUGCAUCCAUCACGGAAAAUGCCCGUUUCGAGACGCUCCCAAAAUCGACCUUAGUACUCACCGGUUUUAUCUUAUCCGUCCUUAUCCUAGCAAGGGAAAAACACGAAGGAGGCUCUCCACACGCUGCGGCGAAGGUGAAGUGAAUCGCCAUUGGGAGAGACACGGAAGAAGAGAGGAGACACCGCGGCCAGGAGAAAGCGUCCUCACCAGCAAAUCAAAUCCAGACUCGGGGUGACACCGAAACAACUGCACUGGUUUUUCCCUCUUUCCCGUAUUUUUCGAAAUACACGUAAAAUUGUCGCCGAACGAAAACGGAGAACGUCCACCGUGUCGUCGGCUGGGAAC